rnacentral:rRNA from 1 species
UACGUAGGUGGCAAGCGUUGUCCGGAUUUAUUGGGUUUAAAGGGUGCGUAGGCGGCCUUAUAAGUCAGUGCUGAAAUACUCUAGCUUAACUAGAGGGGUGGCAUUGAUACUGUAGGGCUUGAGUAUAAUCGAGGUAGGCGGAAUUGACGGUGUAGCGGUGAAAUGCUUAGAUAUCGUCAAGAACACCGAUAGUGUAGACAGCUUACUAGGCUAUAACUGACGCUGAGGCACGAAAGUGUGGGGAUCAAAACAGG